rnacentral:lncRNA from 1 species
AACUAUCUAUGUCAAUCUAAUCUGAGUUAUCUUCAUAAGAUGUUAGCACCUACUCAAGCGAGAAGUGAUAUCUAAGAAAAGAUCUUCUUCACAAGGAAUUGUAAGACCACCCAUUGGAUGGUCAUAUCCAAAUUCUUCGACAGCCUGGCUGAGCAACUCUUGAAGUGAAGUUUGAUUCAAAUAUGACAUUGGAAUUACAAACCGCUUCAUUUUUACUCCUACGUACACCGCAAGGUAUCCCUUUGGCAUAUCCAAGCCUUUUGAAGAUGAUGCCCUUCUGAUACCAGGUAAAUGAAAACCCAUUCUUGUAUGUCUAGAAAAAAAAAUUAUUGCUCUAGAAAAUACUAGUAAACAAUACUCAAGUUUCUGAAUUUCAAAUUGCUAAGAAUGUGAGAGAUUUGUGUUGGUUCGAAAUGUUUAGCAGUCAUGAAUAUAUAUAGCUGAAAGGAUACAUAACAAGUCGUCGGAAAUUGUAAUAAUCAAUGAAGGAGGGCCAUAAGAUAUGAGUCAUGCCCAGACAAGGGCAUAUGAAAGAUCACAUGGAGUUGUCUUAGAGACUUCAAGCGUUAUGGUAGCUAGAUAAUGCAUAAUUCUUGAGAAGAAGCAUCAUAUAAUUGAUAGACUUGUAAGUAGAACCACAAACAUGUAGAAUGGUUUCUGUUGAUCUAUUGUUAUCUAUGGCCUUAUAGUCACUUACUAGCUGGACAUCAGCAUUGUCAUAAUGAAGAAAACAUGUCUUCAGCAUGUUUAUAAAAUUAUGAAGGACAUCUCAUUUGGUAGGAAGUGGAAGCUUUGUAUUGGACAUUGUUUAAGAAGGUAGGGUACACUCUAAGACAGCACCACAUGCUACCUUAUCACUAUGCUCUCUAUCCUUCCACCCCUUCAAUAAUAGUUUUUCUAGGAAUUGGGUUUUGAGAUAACUUCAAACUCUAUAAAUACACUUCCUCUCUCCUUCACAAACAGCACAACUCAUUAGCAUCAUCAAUUACUUAGUUACAUCCUUCUUACUUUUGAUAUUUUUUUCUCUGUUCUUCUCUCGAACAAUAAGAAAAAUGGGUUUCCGUUUACAUACUAUUCUAAAGGGUUCAGUAAAAUCAAAAUCUAUAGAAGUGAGAAAGGGCUAUGUUGCAGUGUAUGUUGGAGAGAAACUGACGCGUUUUGUCGUUCCUGUGUCAUAUUUGAACCAACCUUCAUUUCAAGACUUGUUGAAUCAGGCUGAGGAAGAGUUUGGAUAUGAUCAUCCAACGGGUGGCCUCACCAUUCCAUGCUCCGAAGAUGUGUUCCAACAUAUAACUUCUUGCUUCAAUGGACUAUGAAUCUUAUACUAUACGCUAGAUUAGUUGAGACAUUUUUCAAAUAGGUGUUUAUUUGACUUGUGAAUUAGUUGUAAAUAUAUGACACUUUUCAUGAGAAAUGGAGAAAUAUUACCAUCUGAAUAUCAAAUUCAAAAAUAUACUGUUCUCUUUAUCCUUGUUUAAUUUACAGUGAGCUUAGUUAUUUUAUCAGUUACAACUUUCACCGGUUUUAGUUAGUUCUUUAGUAUAAGCCUGCUUAUAAAGAAUAACUAUACUUCUUUAAAAAUUAAAUCCUAUCACUAGUUUGUUCUUAAAGUUUAAGUAUGUUCAAAUGAUAUGAUCUAUUACAUUUAUUUCUCUAAUACUAGCAAAAUUAAUGUCAUUUUAAAAUCCAGAUUAACCUUUUUAUGUAACAAACACGUUUUGCUAAUUCCAGGUAGCUAACUAAAAUUCUUGAACUAAAUCAAUAACUAUUGAUUAUUUAGCCAGUUUAACAAGGCUUGUCCUAUGUCUUCAGAAAUUGCCUUUGCGCCCAUUUAUUAUAUACUAGGAGCUAGUUUGGUUGAAUUUUUCACAAAUACUCAAAAACGAAAAGUUGAACAUGAUAAUUUUAAGGCUUAAUUACUCAUUUGGUCCCUUAACUUAUUUUUUGGUUUCGUUUUGGUCCCUUAACUUACUUUUUGGUUUCGUUUUGGUCCCUUAACUAUUAAAAGUUUCGUUUUGAUCCCUUAACUUAUUUUUAGGUUUUGUUUUGGUCCCUUAACUCUUCCUUCGUCAACCACUUUGAUCUUUUAUGCUAGGAUGAAUGUAUUAGAGUUAAGGGACCAAAACGAAACCAAAAAAUAAGUUAAGGGACCAAAACGAAACCAAAAAAUAAGUUAAGGGAUCAAAACAAAACUUUUAAUAGUUAAGGGACCAAAACGAAACUAAAAAAUAAGUUAAAGGACCAAAACGAAACUUUUAAUAGUUAAGGGACCAAAAUAAAACCAAAAAAUAAGUUUAACUAACCUUAUCUCCUAAGUAGAAAUUAACUCCUAGACUUCAAUUUUUUUCCAAAGCUCUGUCACACUGUUUAUUAAUAAACACCUUUAAACUUAUAACUUUUUUCUCAACUUACACGCUAAUUAAUGAUUUAAAAGCUAUCAGUAAUUAGAAGUAAACUCAAACUGGCCUGCUGGAAGGACUUGUCAAAGUCUUUCACUAGUAAUUUUUUUCCCACACAUUCCAAAACAGAAAAAUCGCAAAUUUUUGUUGUUACAGUUGAAUGUUUAUCUAUAGGGACUGAGGAACAGUUACUCUAUAACCUUCUAAUGUUUGGCAUUGUCACAAGUGAACUCAAUUAUACAGAAUCUGUAAUAGAUCUUUACAAUAGUAGUUUUGACUCAAGUUUACAUUUGUAUUUUUAAGGUAUGAAUGGAAUGAUGCUCGUAUACAACAGUAGUUUUUACUAUAAUGUAUUUCAAGUGUUAGGAAACAUGAUAUCCAAUGAAGGAAUGAGAGAAAACUAAGAGAAUCUUUCUAUUGAUGAUAAAAGUGAAUAUUACAAAUGAUCAAAGGUUCCUUCUAAUGAGGUGAUUACAACUAUAUACACUACUACAUGACUAAUACUAACUAGUAUCUAACCUAUAUCUCUAAUACCAAGUACUGAUAACAUUAAUUAGGAUAUCAUAUAUAUAAAUUUUCUCUACAUUCUGUCUAUGAUCUAAAUGAACUCAAAAACAAUCUGCAUAAGGCUUAACCAUAUUAACCGAACCAAACUGAACCGAAGUGUUGAAAUGGUUCGGAAUAACCGAACCGAACCAUUUAAGGUUUGAAACUAACCGAACUGAACCAAAGUUAUGGUUCGGUUAACCGUUUGCUUGCCUAUUAACCGAACCGAACCAAAACCAAAAUUUUGAACCGAAAUGUAUUUUUUACCCUUUUGCGAAUUUAAUUGUGUUUUUUUUUUUCCUUUUUAAAUUUAAUUGCCAAUGACCGUACCAAUUCGAUGCUCUAAAUAACAAAUUUUUGAGAUUCAUUCUGUAAAAAAAAAAAAACUCGGAUCUAAUUAUGUGGUUGAUCCUAAGGAAAAUAUGCAUAAGCAACAGUAUGGUUUAUAAGGAGAAUUUGAGGCUUAUUGCUGUCAGUUUGGAAGUUACUGCUAAUGCAAAUGAGAACAUAAAGAGUCCUUUGAGGCAACUAAUAUUGUAGGCCACAUAUGAUGUAUCUUUAAAUUUGCUGGUAUGCAGUGACAUCUGAUUUAAAUUUGCAUGAAUCAACAGGCAAAUGUCUCUUAGUGAAUCGGUUAUUUAGUAAUUAUGUGACAAUGAGUAGACCAUUUAUUGAUUAACCUUAACAAAGUUUACUUCAACAAUGCCGCUACAAUCUCAACCUGAUCAAGAAGCUUAUAAGUUUAGAGUUAAAAUUAUAAUCAAAAUCUAUUUUGAAUAAGCUGUUUAACAUAAAAUAAGCUGUUUUGAAUAAGUUUUUUUUUUAAAUGAGUUGUUUUGAAUAAUCUGUUUUUUAAAAUAAGCUAUUUGGAAUAAGCUGUUUUUAAAAUAAGCUGUUUUAAUAAGUUAUUUUUUAAAAUAAGCUAUUUUCAUAAAAUAAGUUGUAUUGAAUAAGCUGUUUUUUAGAAUAAGUUAUUUUGCAUAAAAUAAGUUGUUUUCAAAAUAAGCUGUUUUGAGUAGGUUUUUUUUUAUUUUUAAAUAAGCUGUUUUCAUAAAAUAAGUUGUUUUGCAUAAAAUUAGCUGUUUUGAAUAAGCUAUUUUUAAAAAUAAGAUGUUUUGUAUAAAAUAAGCUGUUUUAAAUAAGUUGUUUUUUUAAAUAAGUUGAUUUGCAAAAAAAUAAGUUGUUUUGAAUAAGCGGUUUUUAAAAAGAUAUUGUAAUAAGUUGUUUUGCAUAAAAUAAGUUGUUUUGAAUUAGUUGUUUUUUAACAAGAGAUCGUUAUAAGUUGUUUUGCAUAAGACAAAUUGUUUUGAAUAUGUUGUUUUUAAAAAGAGAUCACUAAGUUGUUUUGCAUAAAUAGAUAUGGUUAAUGGUUCGAUUCGGUUAACCAAAGUUAUUAAAGGUUCAGUUCGGUUAGUGAAUUGCUGUCAAAAUAAUGGUUCAGUUCGAGAACUUUCGAAAUGGUUCAAUUAAUUUUGAUAUAGUUCAGUUCGGUUAACCGGUUCAAUAUGGUUUUUGGUUAUUUUUUCCCACACCUACCUGAGAGGAAUGUUGAAAAAUUGAGUAACUUUAAACUCGGCCAUAGAGGAUGUUUCUGUCAUCAAGUUCUGAGAAAAACUCAGAUGAAUUUCUACCAGAACACAGUGUUUCAUACUAUCUAUGCUUGUGUGUUUGUCCUGAAAGGCUCUGUUGUUUCUUUCAAUCCAAAUUAUCCAAACAAUAUACAGGACUGCAGACAGCAUCACUUUCCGCAACAGAGAGCUACUCAUACUCAAACAGCUAGUGAUUAGAGCCAACCAGCUUGACUUAUCAAUCUGCUGACCAGUACCAGAGCUAAGCCAAUCCCACAACACCAUAGUAACCGGGCAAGAUAAGAAAAUAUGAUGAGAAGAUUCCGCCUGAAUGUGACAGAAACAGCAGAUAGAGACAAUGCAACACCCUCUUUUACGCAACGUGUCAUCAGUGGGAAACUUAUUGUGAGCAAAUCUCCAAAGAAUAAAAGAUCUGGAAGGGGGAGGAUACUUAUUUCAAAUAGCUGGGCACCUCGGAAAUCUCUAAAAAGUCCCUUUCAAAUGACCAAAAGCUAAUUUAUUGGUCAAAUUCCCAUCAAUAGAGUUGUUCCUAUUGAGUGUAUCAGCAACUGGGUCAAUAGGCAGAGUGAUACCAUAUAUUUGCUGGACUAAAGAGACAGGGGCCAAUGCUUGUACAAGAGAGGGGUAGCUAUGGCUACCCCAAAAAAAUAAAUUUUAUUGAGUUAGUAGGUAUAUUUUUAUGUUUAGCUACCCCUAAUAAUAUAUAUUUGGCUACCCCAAGUUCGAUUUUAGGUGUAAUAAUUUUUUAUGACUUUGGUUACUUUCGGGUGGCCACCUCAUAAAAUUAUUGCUAGCUUCGCCUCUGUAAAGAGACAUCCUUUAUUAUGCAGGAAAUAUUCAGGAAUUUGCCACUGGCCCUCUAUCACAAAAUCAGCAACUUUCAUUAAGUAGAGGUUGAGUUCGAACUAUGGUCAAGCAACAACUUUAAAAAAAUAUAGGGAGAGUUUUCUUGUCUGUGGUUUUAUUUGACUCCAGAGUCGAGAUACUCGAUUUAUUAAAAACAAAUUAGGAGAUUUUUAAAUACUUGACAUAGAUUGAAAAAGGAUAUUAGCUACAGCCUGCGGCUCAAAGAACUGGGCUGAAUGGUGUCUUACCUUUUUACUACCCUGUGUUGUGGGCUUAAGUGGAAAAAUUAGAGAAAGUGGAUUUGCACCCUUGAUUUAAUCGGAUAUCUGUGUUUUGAUUGACUGUGUGACUGCGCCAUUUUUUUUACUGCAGUGAAUCACAAUCUAGAUUCUAAAUUGAACAUAUGCUUUGAUUUUCAGAUUUAUAUUUAAUGGGAAAUACACAGUAACACAAUAAUAAUGUUAAUAAAUUUGUCAUUGAGAUGAACUUUUUACAACCAAGUAUGAUAACAAUAAUAAUGUUAAUAAAUUUGUCAUUCAAAAGAGAAACUCUUUUCAAGGUGAGAAACUAUACUACUACAAAAUUGGGUCAAAUAUCUACGUCAAUACUAUGCUAACUUCAAAGAUUUGAUUCAAUUCAAGCGAGAAGUGAUAUCUAAGAAUACUUCUUCUCUGCAAGGAAUAGUGAGACCACCCAUUGGAUGAUCAUAUUCAUAUUGUUCUUCAGCUUGGUUCAACAAUUCUUGGAACGAGGUUUGGUUCAAGUAUGAUAUUGGGAUCACAAACCGCUUCAUUUUCUCUCCUACAUACACUGCUAGAUAUCCUUUUGGCACGUCAACAGCUUUUGAAGAUGAUACCCUUGAUCUGAUGAUACUUGGUAAACGAAAACCCAUUGUUGUAUGAAUUAAAAAGAGAAGAUUGGUCUAAAAAAAAGAGUUGUGUAUAGAAGACUCAAGUUUCUGAACUUCAAAUGCCUUGGGAGGUGAAUGAUUUUUUGUUGGUGCUAAAUGCUUUUGCAGCCUUUAAUAUAUAUAGAUGAAAGGAUAUGUAACAAACAGUCGGCAGCUACAAUGAUCAAUGAAGGAGGGCCAUGAGGUUUGAGCUAUGGCCAGACAAGAGCAUAUGAAAGAUCACAUGGUGUUGUCUCUAGAUGAAUGGAUAAACUUCAAGUGUUGUAGUAGAUAGAUAAUGCAUAAUUCUUGAGCAUAAGCAUCAUAUAAUUGAUAGACUUGAAAGUAAAGCCACAAACAUAUAGAAUGGUUUAUGUUGUUAUAUUGUUAUCUAUGGCAUUAUAGUCACUUACUAGCUGGACAUCAGCAUUAUCAUAAUGCAGAAAACAUGUCUAAAGCAUGUUUACAAAAUUAUGAAGUACACCAAUUAAAUCAUGAAGAAAUAUGAGGCUGACAUCUCAUUUGGUAGCAAGUGGAAGCUUUGUAUUGGACAUUUGUUUAAGAAGGUAGGGUACACUCUUAGACAACACCACAUGAGACCUUAUCCCUAUGCUCUCUAUCCAUCAAACCCUUCAAUAAUAGUUUCUCUUGAAAUUUGGUUCUGAGAGAACUUCAAAAUCUAUAAAUACACUUCCUCUCUCCUUCAUAAAGCACAACUCAUUGGCAUCAUCAAGUAUUUAGUUAAAACUUACAUCCUUCUUACAUUUGAGAUUUUUUAUUUGUUCUUCUCUCAAACAAUAACAAAAAAUGGGUUUUCGUUUAAACUCUAUUCUAAGAGGAUCGGUAACAGCUAGACAAGCAACAUCAAAAUCUGUAGAAGUGAGAAAGGGCUAUGUUGCGGUGUAUGUUGGAGAGAAACUGGUGCGGUUUGUAGUCCCUGUAUCAUACUUGAAUCAACCUUCAUUUCAAGACUUGUUGAGUCAAUCCGAGGAAGAAUUUGGAUAUGAUCAUCCCAUGGGUGGCCUCACCAUUCCUUGUACAGAAGAUGUCUUCCAGCAUAUAAUUUCUUCCUUGAAUGGACUAUGAAUCUUACACUGUAGCAUACUCACAUAGACUAGAUUAAUUGAGACAAUUUUCAUUAUAGGCAUCAUUUUUACUUGUAAAUAUUACCCUUUUCAUGGGAAAUGGAGAAAAAAAUACUAUUUGAAUUACAAAUUCAAAAAAUUACUGUCCUCUUUUUUAUUGUUUAAUGACAUUGAGCUCAUUUACUUUAUCAGUUACAACUUUCACUAGCUAUAGUUAGUUCUUUAAAUAUCAGCCUGCUUAUGAAGAAUACAUAACUUGGCUGAUUUAAAAAAAAAUCCUACUACAAGCUAUGUUCUUUGAGCCUGUUGAAAUAAGAUAAUCUGUUGCUUUUAUUUCUGUAAAAUCCAGCUAAAUCUUUCUAUGCAAUAAAACCUGUUUUGCUAAUUCCAGGUAAAUAACUAAAGUUAUUGAACUAAAUCAAUAACCAUUGAUAAUUUAGCCAAAUUAAUUAGUUUUGGCCUGUCUUCAGAAAAUGCCUUUUUCCAUUGAUUAUAUUUAAGAGGUAUAGUUUCGUUAAAUGUUUCACAUAAAUUCAAAAAAAGCAAAAGUUGAACAUGAUUACUUUAACUAUUUUAUUAUCUCCUAAGCAGAAAUUAGCUCCUACACUUCAAUUUUAUUCAGAAUCUAUCUCACUUAGUUUAUUAGUAAACACCAUUAAACUUACAAGCUAAAUAUUUAUUUCAAUUCCUAUAGUUUGAAAUUGAUUCAAAUUUCCAACUGGCUCUUAAGUCUUUAACCCUUCUAGUUUUCUCAAAACUGAAAAUCACAAACUUUUAUUGUUUCAGUUGAAUAUUUAUGUGGGGAACAGGCCCUCUAUAAACUUCUAAUGUUUGGCAAGGAAGUGCCUCGCGUAUUCCUUAUAGUAUAAGGAAUCUGUAAUAGAUAAUAUGUACCUUUUUUUACUGGUUGAUGAUAUAUACUCAACAAAUAUCAAUUUGAUAUAAAAACAAAGUAAAAGUUAAGAGUUUUUGAAAUUUUCUCCUUCAAAAUAAUUACAAAAACUAGAUAAUCUAUAUAAUUGGCAACUGUCUAAAACUGUAGGUGACAUCCAUGCAUAAGCUCAACUUCGCCAACAAGUCAAUGAAAAUAAACCAUUGUUAGAUCAAUAUAGUUGGAUUCAGUGUUUUUCUUGAAGAUUCUUUUCGCAAUAUAUCCUUAAUUUAUGACCACUAAAAUAUAUCAGAUCCUUUUUUUUUUAUUGCAACAGGGGCGAUUCCUUUUUAUAUAUGAAGUAAAUGAAUUUUUCAUUUUAUCAGAGAGAUCAUAAACUGAACAUUUAGCAAUUGAUUUUCAUAUUCAUAAUUAAGGGGAAGUAAUAGAGAAAUAAUGUAAUAGUGUUUAAAAUUUCUCAUUCAGAUGAACGUUUUACAUUCAAGGUAUGAUAACAACAAAAGUGGAAAUCUUCUAAAGGUUAGAAAAUAGAAACUAAUUUGAUACAAAAAUUGGUCAGAUAUCUAUGUCAAUCUUCUAAUAUCUGCAUGGAGCUACUUCAAUUCAAGUUAGAAGUGAUAUCUAAGAAAACUUCUUCUUUGCAAGGAAUAGUGAGACCCCCCAUUGGAUGGUCAUAUUCAAAUUGUUCCUCAGCUUGGUUCAACAAUUCUUGGAAUGAUUUUUGCUUCAAAUAUGAUAUAGGGAUCACAAAUCUCUUCAUGUCCUUUCCUACAUACACAGCUAGAUAUCCCUUUGGAACGCCCACAGAUUUUGAAGAUGAUGACCUUUUGAUGAUACUAGGUAAACGAAAACCCAUUGUUGUAUGUGUUGAAAAUAAGAGAUUGGUCUAAAAUAGACAGACUUGUAUAUAGAAAAGACUCAAGUUUUUUAACUUCAAAUGAGUUGGAAUGUGAAUGAUUUGUGUUGGUGCUAAAUGCUUGCAGCCAUGAAUAUAUAUAGAUGAACGGAUACUUAACAAACCGUCGGCAACUAUAAUGAUCAGUGAAGGAGGACCAUAGGAUUAGAGUUAUGUUCAGACAACAGCAUAUGAAACGUCACAUGGUGUUGUCUUCAGAAUUUAGAGGACUUUCUCAAAGAUCAACAUCAAAUGUUGUGGUAGGUAGAUAAUGCAAGUCCCACCUUGUUGAGUAGAGGCCAGCAUAUAAUUAAUCAACUUGAAAGUAUAACCACAAACAUGUAGAGUGGUUUAUGGAUCUAUUGCUAUCUAUUGCCUUGUAUAGUUUAGCAUCUGGACAUCAACACUAUCAUAAUAGAAAGAACAUGUCUAAGCAUGAUUUCACAGUUAUGAAGAAGUAAUUAAUGCAUGAACAGAUAUAAGGCUGCUCUGCACUUGAGAAAGUCUCAAUUGGUUCCAAGUGGAAGCUUUGUGUUGGCCAUUGUUUGAGAAGGUGGGGUACAAUCUUAAGACAACGCCACAUGCUAUAUUAUCUUAUGCUCUCUAACCUUUAACUCUUUCAAAUAAUAAUUUAGCUUUGAAUCGAAUUUUCAGAUAAACUCAAUGACUAUAAAUAUACGCACAUAAAAUGGGUUUCCAAUAGCCUGUUCUUCUAAGUGUUAGUUACAUGGCAUCCCACUACAGUCUAGUUGUCCGCACACACCACAUCAAAAUGGUGUUUCCAAGUGGAAACAUCGUCAUCUACUCGUACCUUAUUGAUUAAUGCUCAUGCACUUUGAAAACAUUGAGGUGAUGUUGUUCUCACAACAUCUUAUUUGAUCAAGUGUAUGCCAUUCUCGGUAUUGGAUAAUGAGAUUCCACAUUCUCUCUUGUUUUAUAAGCCCCCGCUGUAUUUUGUACUUUUACGAGUGUUUGGAUCCACUUCUCUUGUUCAUGUUCUAUCUCCUGGCUGUGAAAAAUUGUUUACAGGAGAUAUCAAGUGUGUGUUUCAGGGGUACUGCAGAGUUCAAAAGGGGGAUCAAUGUUAUUGUCUAUUUACACGUCAUUUUUAUGUUUCGACAGAUGUUACUUUCUUUGAUGAUACACCUUACUUUGUGACACCAGGUACAUCAGAUUCUAAAACAUAUAUAUGUUAGUAAUCAUGUGGUACAUAUUCCUCUAUUUGAAUGAUCUAUCUCUACUCACAGACCUCCAUAGUCACAUAGUCAUCCCGAGUUUAAGUGUUAUUGUACUACUAAUCAACGUCAAUGUGUUGAUGCUCAAGAGACAGUUCCUACCUCUUCCGGUGAUUUAGAUUUUGUUCAUAUUACUUCUAACCGUCAUUAUAUAUAUAACUUUUUGAGUUAUCAUCGCUUGCCUCCAUCGAUCUCACUAUGUUUUUGUCUCUAUUAUAUCCGCUAUCUCUAUUCAUAAGUUCAUCCAGAAAGUAAUAUCACAUCCAGGAUGGCGACAAGCAAUAAUUGUUGAAAUGAAUGCAUUGGAGUCUGUGUACAUGGAAGUUUGUUCCAUUACCUCCUCGAAAAUCUAUUUUGGUUGUCAGUGGGUCUUUGCUAUUAAAGUAUGUUAUCAUGAACAAAUGGAUCAUACAAAAGGUCAAUUGGUAGCAAAAGUAUACCCUCAAAUUUAUGGUUUGGACUAUAUUGGUACCUUGCAAAAAUGGUUUAUGCUCGUCUUUCUUUGUUAGUGGCUGCUAUCAAACAUUUACCUUUGUAUCUUAUUUCAUGAAGUCUUAGAAGAGGCGAUGUAUAUGCAGUAGCCACCUGGCUUUAUUGCUUAGGGUGAUUUUGGUCUUGUUUACAAGUUAGAAAAAUCAUUGUACGGUCUAAAGCAAUCAGCUUGAACUUACUUUUGAAAAUUCAGCAAGCUUAUUCAAUAAUUUGGCAGGAUUCAUUGUGAAGCUGGUCAUUCUGUAUUAUUUAGACAUUCAUCUUCAAACAAAGUCAUUUAUUGAGUGGUAUAUGUGGAUGAUAUUUUUAUUACCGAUAAUGAUUAAGAAGACAUUAAAAACAUAAAAAAUAAUUUAUUCAACCACUUUCAAACCAAUUAUUUAAGCCAAUUGCGUUUUUUUUUUUGGGAAUGAAGUAACACAAACACAUGAAGCUACUGCUAUUUCUUAGAGAAAAUAUGUUCUUGAUAUCUUGGGAGAAACAUGGAUGCUCGAUUGUAAACCAGUUGCUACUCCUUUGGACCAUAAUGUGAAGCUUUUACAAAAUCAUGGAGAGUGGUAUCCUGAUCCAGACAGAUACAGGAGGCUAGUUGUGAAACUGAAUUAUCUCACUAUUCUUGUCUCUCCUCCUCUCACUUAUUUGCUUGUCUCUCUUUUUUCUGACUUACUUGCUUCUGUAUAUGCAGGAAGAAUUCAUUUAGCAAAGAAUUGAAUUAAUGCAAUAUAUCAUGUUUUUUCUGUUUCUAAGGGCUUGUUGUUCUUGUUUCUUUGUAGCUCAUCAUAGCAUGUUUUGCGGAGGUUUUAUGUUGCAGAUGUAAAUUUAGGUUUUGUACUUGCUAAUUUAGUAAAGCUGUGUCAAUAAUAACGUUGCAAAUCCAAAAUCUGUGAAUAAGAAUUUCAUUAUUGACAUAAAUGCUAAUCCAAUUUUAUAAAUUAAAAAUCGGCCAAAUCAAUCUUGGCUCAUCCGUAGUUUAACGGUUUAACCAGACUGCAAGAUAAUUGAAGUCAAACCAGCCGAUGAACUGGUCAUUUCCUAGUUCUAAGAAUGUUGAGGUAGUAUAUACCAACUUAUUUAAAAAACAAAUGUAAGGGUUCUACAAAUAUAGGUUGGUUCUUCAAGUGACAACAAAAUGCUACUACAAAUGAAAACAGACAAGCUUUUUCCAAACUAAAACAGAAAAUAAACAAAAGUGAUCCAUGUCACAAAUAAGCAUACUGAUUCUUCUAGACCAACUUGUAGUAACAAUUGUUUGCACAGAUUAGAACCUCAUAUCCCUUGCCACAUGGACACUUGAAAGUAAGGCUUAAACACUUAUCAACCCACUCCACACUAACAGCUUCUUCAUAAUCAUUUCCCAAUUCAUCCUACAAAAACAAAAAUGAACUGUUCAGCAUAAAAACUAUUAAUCUGAAAGUCAUGUUUAUAGUUUUAACUUGUUGUCGCCAAAACUACAUCGCAAUUGCAGCCGCUUUUUAGAGGAUUUUGAGGUCUCUACAAGGGCGUCACAAACACAAUUUUAGUCACAUCGGCCGCAUUUCCCCACAAUGUAAAGGUUCACAUCGUGACCACAAGUGCGACUGCAAUCGCAAUUUAAAACAAUGAUUACAAGUGCAACUAUGAUCACAUCAACAAUUUAUUAUGCUUCUUAGCCAAACCCCCAGAUCCUACAUAUUUAAGUGGAACAAAAGGUGGCUACACUACACAUGAAGUUGUAAUGAGGCCAAAAGUUUAGGUAGUGUUAUGGCUAUAAACAUUCAAACACGGGAAUAAAGGUGGCUACACUACACAUGAAACUAUAAUUGAAUAUGUCAUCUUCAUUCUUCAGUAUGUUCCUGUCUUAAAAUUUAGCAUUUUUACCCUUCGAUAUAAAACCUCUAACUCUAACAUAUUGCCCACAAAAUUCUUGAAAAGAAGAGUGUUUAUUCUUACCUAGAUUCGGUAAAUUAAAAACCAAAGGAAAAAUGCAGUGGAGGGAAGCACAUCACACAGUUGAUCAAAUAAUUUUUUUACUUCAGAUAUGUAUAUGUCGAUAAGGGAAAGUCCAGAUCCUAUAUAAUUGAGUUGUUAAAAUUGCUGCACAUAAACUAUGAUUACAAAUGCAACUAUGAUCAAAUUCAAUACCUUCCCGUAACCCCCGGAUUCUUCGUAAUUAAGCAAGUGCAACUAGGAUAUACAUAAAAAUAAGAAAUAACUUGUAAGUACCAAUUAAAGAACCAACUACAUUGAAGAUUACAUAGAAAAGACAAUCACAGUUGAAGAUUCAAGACAUGUACCUGCGAUAUGACUUUUUCAUCUUCAGCAACAAAAGAGUCAAGAGAGUGCUCUUCUUGUUCUUGUUCUUUUUCAUCCUUUUCAUCUUCAGCAUCAGGAGAGGGCUCUUCUUCUUGUUGUUCUUUUUCAUUUUCUUCCUCGACUUCCAUAACUUCAUCCCACACUUUCUUCAUUUCUUUUAACCGAUCCUUCAUCCUUUUAAGCCUCUACGAAAAACAAACAAAACCCAUUAUUCCAAAUCAAAAAAAGAGUACUUUUUUAUCAAGAAACACAAGUUUCAACACAUACCAUUGAAUCAGAUUCAGGGGUGGUUUUUUUAGCAGAGUUCAAAUAACGAGCUACUGCUUCUUUAACCUCAAAAGGAUCAAUAACUUCAGAUAUACAUCUGCUGAUCGGAGGCUGAGGCUGCAAAGCAGUUGACGGCCCUUUUACCGGCAUGGAUUGAUCCGGCAAGGUGCAAGGAUCAGAGACACAGCGGCUAAGAGCAUUCCCGCGGAGACUGAAAGGAAGUGUAAUGGCAGAGAAGCCAUUACGGGUGAGAUUGCUUGCGUCAAAAGAAUGCUUCUUGGAUGAUGGUUGGUGGGCAGAUGAUGAUGAUGGUGAACGGCGUUUGACAGAGUUGUUGUGAGUGUGAUGAUGAAGCAUUGAUGAUGUUGGAAUAAUCAUGGAUUGUUUCUGUUUGUGAGGGAUCAACAUGGAUUCUUGUUGAAUCUGUAAAUCACCCAUUCUUCUGAAUUGUUUUCUUUUUUGAUUGUAAAGUAAGUGUGAGUGGCAAAGAGUUAUGAAAAAAGAGGGAUGGUUUGAGUAUACAUACAUACAUAUAUAUAUAUAUAUAUAUAUAGGAGAUGGUAUAUGAUGAUCUGUUGAGGUUUUCAAGGGUAACUGAUUUUCUGUCUUCAAAAUCAAAUCAAAAUGUUUAAAAGAAAAUAAGUUUUACAUAAUUUGUAUUUGAGAGAUACAAACCAAAAUGGAUUUCUGGCUGGUCAUGACAUUUUUUAUUAUAUACACCCUGAGUCUGGAAAUCAAUUUUACAGGGGUGGACUUAUUGUUGAGAAAAAAAUGAUCAUAAGAUGCGAAAAUCUCAACAAAUUAUACUUAGUUAUUUAAGCCUGUUGAAAUGAGAUAAUUGCUACUACUGUCUCUCUGAAUACUAGCUAGCAUAAUUAGGGUCAUUGUUCAUCCAGUUUUGCAAAUUCGAGGUAGCUAACUAAAAUGCUCGCACGAAUUCAAUAACUAUUGAUGAUCUAGCCAAAUUGAUAAGGCUCGGCCUAUGUUUUCAGAAAUUGCAUUAGCAGUGAUUAUAUAUUCAUUAAGAGCUGUUUUGGUUAAAUUUUUCACAUAUACUCAAAAAUGAAAAGUUGAACAUGAUUACCUUAACUAAUAUCUUAUCUCCCAAGAAGAAAUAAGCUUCUAUACUUCCAAUUUUUUCAGAUCUCUCUAACUCAGUUUAUAGGUAAAAACAUCCAGAACUUACUGGUAACACCAUCAGAGUUCAGAUAUUUCUUUCUCAUACAAGUUUAUUCACAUCAGUAUUUCAUUUAUAGUGUGCAGAACAAUAAAAAAAAAAAAAAGGGUAAUAUAUAUAACAAAAGAAGAGAGGACUCAAACAGAGGACUCAAUAAUUCAUGCUAUUUUUUAGAGUUAGGAAACAGUAAAAAAAUUCAAGAGUGCUUGGAUGAUAUGCCAUGAGUACUUAGAUAAGAUGUCCCAAGUAUCUUCCUAUCUAAAUAGAGGUUUCCGGUUCUAACUAUGUGAAUGCAACAACGUUAAAAUGUUCAGGGAGAGUUUUGCCGUGGUUUUAUUGGACUCGACAAUUGAGAAACGUGAUUUGUAAAAACAGAAGUAGUAGAUGGUAAAAUAUAGUCCUAUGUUUAUAAAUUGAGAUUAUAGAUUUUUUACAGCAAAAUUGAAAUUUGCCUUUCUUUUUUGAGAACAAAAUUGUUUAGACAUUUCACAACAAAAGAAAAAAAAUAUAUUAUCAAAGAAUUUGACUAUAAAAUGUAGAGGUAACUAUUUUUAACUCAUUUUUUUUAUUAAAAAAAAAAACAUAAUUUGAUAAAUUAAAUAAUUGUUAAUAUGAUUUGAGAAACCAUGUUUUUGCUAUCUAAAUUCUAUCCAAUAAUUCUGUGUUCUCUGCAGAUAUUUUUUCCGCAAUAUAUACUUCAAUUAUUAUUGUUAAAUCAAUAUAGUUUACUUUUUAAUUUCCAUUUUUUGCAUUAGGGGAGGAUUGAUUUUAUAAUUGAACAACUGAAUCUUCCAUUAUAUCCUCUAGAGAUUCUAAACUGAACAUUUAACAAAUAUAGAUGCAUCGAUUCUUAGAAUGGCAUGUAAGAAAAACACAGUAAUAAUGUGUUAAUAAACUUCUCAUUGAGGUGAACAUAUUUACAAGCAAAUAUGAUAACAACAAAAGAUAAAAUCUUUUGAAGGUGAGAAACUAAACUGCUACAAAACUGGGUCAAAUAUCUAUGUCAUGUCCUAUGAUAUCUUCAAAGAGCUAAUUCAAUUCAAGUGAGAAGUAAUAUCUAAGAAAAUGUCUUCUUUGCAAGGAAUAGUUAGACCACCCAUUGGAUGGUCAUAUUCAAAUUGUUCCUCGGCUUCGCUCAACAAUUCUUGGAAUGAAGUUUGGUUCAAAUAUGAUACAGGAAUCACAAACCGCUUCAUUUUCUCUCCUACGUACACUGCUAGAUAGCCCUUUGGAACGUCCACAGCUUUUGAAGAUGAUGCCCUUGAUCUGAUGAUACUACGUAAACGAAAACCCAUUGUUGUAUGUAUGAGUUAAAAGGAGAAGAUUGGUCUAAAAAGAAAGAGUUGUGUAUAGAAGACUCAAGUUUCUGAACUUCAACUGACUUGGGAUGUGAAUGAUUUUUUGUUGGUGCUAAAUGCUUGAUGCCAUGUUUAUAUAUAGAUGAAAGGAUAUGUUACAAACAGUCGACAACUACAAUGGUCAAUGAAGGAGGACCAUGAGAAUUUAAUCAUGGCCAGACAAGAGCAUAUGAAAGAUCACAUGGUGUUGUCUCUAAAUGAAUGGAUAUACUUCAAAUGGUGUAGUAGAUAGAUAAUGCAUAAUUCUUGUGCAAAAGCAUCAUAUAAUUGAUAGACUUGAAAGUACAAACCACAGACAUGUAGAAUGGUUUAUGUUGAUCAAUUGUUAUCCAUAGCCAUGUAGACACUUACCAGCUGGACAUCAGCAUUAUCAUAAUGAAGAAAACAUGUCUGAAGCAUGUUUACGAAAUUAUGAAGGAAACCAAUUAAAUCAUGAAGAAAUAUGACGUUGCACUUGAGCACAUCUCAUUUGGUAGCAAUUGGAAGCUUUGUAUUGGAUAUUGUUUAAGAAGGUAGGGUACACUCUAAGACAACAC